rnacentral:rRNA from 1 species
UCCGUAGGGGUAACCUGCGGAGGGAUCAUUAUAGAGUUUUCUAAACUCCCAACCCAUGUGAACUUACCUUUGUUGCCUCGGCAGAAGUUAUAGGUCUUCUUAUAGCUGCUGCCGGUGGACCAUUAAACUCUUGUUAUUUUAUGUAAUCUGAGCGUCUUAUUUUAAUAAGUCAAAACUUUCAACAACGGAUCUCUUGGUUCUGGCAUCGAUGAAGAACGCAGCGAAAUGCGAUAAGUAAUGUGAAUUGCAGAAUUCAGUGAAUCAUCGAAUCUUUGAACGCACAUUGCGCCCAUUAGUAUUCUAGUGGGCAUGCCUGUUCGAGCGUCAUUUCAACCCUUAAGCCUAGCUUAGUGUUGGGAAUCUACUUCUUUAUAGUUGUAGUUCCUGAAAUACAACGGCGGAUUUGUAGUAUCCUCUGAGCGUAGUAAUUUUUUUCUCGCUUUUGUUAGGUGCUAUAACUCCCAGCCGCUAAACCCCCAAUUUUUUGUGGUUGACCUCGGAUCAGGUAGGAAUACCCGCUGAACUUAAGCAUAUCAAUAGGCCCGGAGGAA